rnacentral:rRNA from 1 species
UCUUGCAUUGGAUUGAGAACAAUGUACAACUCUUAUCGAUAAGCCAUUGGAGGGCAAGUCUGGUGCCAGCAGCCGCGGUAAUUCCAGCUCCAAUAGCGUAUAUUAACGUUGUUGCAGUUAAAAAGCUCGUAGUUGAAGUGUGGGUGAUCGCUGUUGUGAGACUUCGGUCUCUCGACAGUAAGUCACCCCCUUCCAGUAUCCAGUAGUGGGUAUUCAGUUACUUACUAUUGUGUGUUGGUCGUUUACUGUGAGAAAAUUAGAGUGUUCAAAGCAGGCGUUUGCUUGAAUAGAUUAGCAUGGAAUAAUAAUUGAAGGCUUUCGUGUUCGAUUUGAUUGGUUUGUUCAUGGAAGCAAGGUUAAAAGGAACAGUUGGGGGUAUUCAUAUUCACUAGUUAGAGGUGAAAUUCUCGGAUUUAUGGAAGAUGAACAAGUGCG